GACGAACGCUGGCGGCGUGCCUAAUACAUGCAAGUAGAACGCUGAAGGAGGAGCUUGCUCUUCUGGAUGAGUUGCGAACGGGUGAGUAACGCGUAGGUAACCUGCCUGGUAGCGGGGGAUAACUAUUGGAAACGAUAGCUAAUACCGCAUAAUAGUAGAUGUUGCAUGACAUUUGCUUAAAAGGUGCAAUUGCAUCACUACCAGAUGGACCUGCGUUGUAUUAGCUAGUUGGUGAGGUAACGGCUCACCAAGGCGACGAUACAUAGCCGACCUGAGAGGGUGAUCGGCCACACUGGGACUGAGACACGGCCCAGACUCCUACGGGAGGCAGCAGUAGGGAAUCUUCGGCAAUGGACGGAAGUCUGACCGAGCAACGCCGCGUGAGUGAAGAAGGUUUUCGGAUCGUAAAGCUCUGUUGUAAGAGAAGAACGAGUGUGAGAGGGAAAGUUCACACU
rnacentral:rRNA from 1 species